rnacentral:misc_RNA from 1 species
GAUGAAGAACGUAGCGAAAUGCGAUACGUAAUGUGAAUUGCAGAAUUCAGUGAAUCAUCGAAUCUUUGAACGCAUAUUGCGCUCUCUGGUAUUCCGGAGAGCAUGCUUGUUUGAGUAUCAGUAAACACCUCAACUUCAUAUCUUUUUUGAAAUGGGAGUUGGACUUGAGUGAUCCCAACGCUUUUCCUCACCGAAAAGUGGCGGGUUACUUGAAAUGCAGGUGCAGCUGGACUUUUCUCUGAGCUAUAAGCAUAUCUAUUUAGUCUGCCUAAAAAACAGAUUAUUACCUUUGCUGCAGCUAACAUAAAGGAGAUUAGUUCUUGUGCUGACUGAUGCAGGAUUCACAAAGACGGCUUCGGCCGACUUUGUAAACUCGAUCUCAAAUCAAGUAAGACUACCCGCUGAACUUAAGCAUAUCAAUAAGCGGAGGA